UAGGGAAUAUUGGGCAAUGGGUGAGAGCCUGACCCAGCCAUGCCGCGUGCCGGAAGACGGCCCUACGGGUUGUAAACGGCUUUUAUAUAGGAACAAAAAGGGUUGUGCGCAACCUGUUGAGGGUACUAUAUGAAUAAGCACCGGCUAACUCCGUGCCAGCAGCCGCGGUAAUACGGAGGAUGCAAGCGUUAUCCGGAAUGAUUGGGCGUAAAGCGUCCGCAGGUGGUGAUGCAAGUCUGCUGUUAAAGAGUGUAGCUUAACUACAUAAAGGCGGUGGAAACUGCACCACUAGAGUACGUUCGGGGCAGAGGGAAUUCCUGGUGUAGCGGUGAAAUGCGUAGAUAUCAGGAAGAACACCGGUGGCGAAAGCGCUCUGCUAGGCCGUAACUGACACUGAGGGACGAAAGCUAGGGGAGCGAAUGGGAUUAGAUACCCCCGUAGUCC
rnacentral:rRNA from 1 species